rnacentral:lncRNA from 1 species
AUAUGGAAAUCUACAGCCUCAGAAAGUGACACGUCGAAGAUUCCUCGGCCUCGCCGCCCGCCCUCCCCCUCCUGGGCAGCGUUCCUGCCGCGGAGAUUCCGGGAGGGGGAGCGGAUUCCUCGGACAAAAUCUGCUGGGAAGGCUGGGGGUGGGGGGAGGCCGCGAGCCACUGCCCAAUUUUUUUUAAGAGGAAUCUACCCGUUUCUUUCACUCCUCCAAACCCUGAGGCAGGGGGCACAGGCGGGGGACCCCAGCCCAGCAAGGCGGGGGCCGCCCCCUCCCGGGUCCCGUGUUCCCGGGGUGCCCAGGCGAGCACGGGGCGCCCCAGCACUCCGGCGCCAAGUUUUUGCCGGGAAGCCCAGGGCGCUCCCGGGACAGGGACGCACUUUGGCGGACUCGGCGUCAGGCCGGGGCUUUCCAGUGCACCGGGACCCGGCGAUCGCGCUCGGGGUCCCGGUCUCCUCUAGUCCCCGGCUCUUGCACGCCUUACCUUCCCUAGGGCUGAAACGCGGGGCUCUGGGCGCGCCACACACCGGGUCGCCCACGCCUUCCCAGCCGGCAGCCUGGAGGAUCCCUGCCGCCCCCUUCGCUGCUCCCGCCGCCGCCGCUCUCCUCCUCCAGCCGCCGCCGCCGCCGCUCAAAUAACUACCAGGAGGGUUUGAUGGGGGAUUCCGCCAUGUCAAUGAUGUCGGGACCACAUGGGGAUUUGGGGCCCGCCCAUUACCGUAAACCGCCGAAUAUACCGGCCGCCACAAUCGCAGACUCGCAGAAGCUGUUGUCCCCCGGCCCUGCCUAGCUAAGCAGAAACUCCUUUUGGUUCAGCCAGACUAAAGAAACCUGAGGCUUAGGGAACUAACAACUCCUGAAUGGCGAGGGCUGCGCGUUCUGCAGAUCGCCAAAGUAAUAUAAAGGCAAUGUUUACUCAGUGAUAAUUAAGCCUAAAACUGACUUUUUUUCAUUUACACAUAUAUUUCGCUUUUUGUUGUUGUUAACCCCCACAGCAACCUUGUGAGCUAUAUUACUCCCACAUUUCCCACAGCAUUUUAUUCAUACAACUAACAUAGUAUGAGCAAUUUUUAUUAUACUUAAGUUAAAAUCUCUCUUUCCUCUUUCUUUUUGUUUUUUGUUUUUUGUUGUUGUUGUUGUUUGUUUUGGGGACUGCAGGCACGGGGCAGGCAUGAGCCACCGCACCCUUUUUUUUUUUUUUUUUUUUUCCUUUUUUGGAAGAGAGGGGGUCUCAAUAGGUUGCCCAGGCUGGUCUGGAACUCUGUCGCUCAAGUGAUUCUCCCGCCUUGGCCUCCCAAAGUGUUGAGAUUACAGGCGUGAGCCAACUCACCCAGCCUUAUUUCACAAUGCGUUUCUCAGGGACAAAGACUGUUUCUUACUUUUAUCUUUAUAUCCGUAAAAUAUAGCACAGUGCAAGGACCACAAUAGGACUCAUUAAAUAACUGUUGAGUUCAUAUUAAGUCAAAUGUAAUGUAUUUCUGUUGUACAGGCUCUAAGAGGUUAACAGACUGCAUCCCAUGCCACCCCUCAGAUUAUUCAGGAGACAAGAGAGCAAAAGUUAGCCUAGAGAAGCCCCUUCCAUCCAUAGCUGUCCAGGUAUUCUGAAUAGCUACAUUCAGCCUCAACUAUUAAGCUACAAAGGAGCAUUCAGGGAGUCACUAGAGACAAUGUAUUACUUUUGUUAACCUAAAAAAUAAUAAUAGCAGUACAUAAUACUCUGUUAAAGUCUAAAGAACACUAAGAAAUAGCUCCUUCCUUCCCUUGUUCAUUUGCCAUUCUUUUGGGGAGAUUUUAGCCUUUUUUUUUUUUUUUUGGAGGCAAUGGUGAGUCCAGAGAAAUGGGGACCUCUCUCCUAAAUGGCUUAUUUACUGUGGAGCUCCUCAAAGGGGAACUUGAAGCCAUCUUUCUAUAACAUAACUCCAAUUCUAGGUCAUAGUCCUGCAUGAGAAGCCGGGGCGGGGGGUAGGCAGUAGUUCCUUAGUGCCAAUAGGGUACAAUCCAAUAGAUCCCAUUUGAGUCCAAAUGCCUUCUCUGGCUCCAGACUCUUUGGCUUCCUCAGGUGCCAUGCCUUCAGCCCAGCUGAUCACUCAUGGCUCCAGAAGGUACCUGUGUCCCUUUGUACGUGCCUUCCCUCUGAAACAUACUUCUUCUUCCCUAUUUAAGAUCAUUUACUCAUCCUUGAUCUCCGGCUAAAACCACUCCCUCCUUUCCUCCCUACAGUCUCAUACCUCUUUUCCCCACAAUCUUAUAAUCCUUGUCAGUUCUCACAUUGCUCUGAAGUUAGUCUUUUUUUUUUUUUUUUUUUUCUGAGGCUAGAGUGCAGUAGCAUGAUCGUAGCUCACUGCGUCUUCAAGCUCCUAGGCUCAAGCGAGUCUCCCACCUCAGCCUCCCAAGUAGCUGGGACUACUAGUGUGUGCCAUCACGCCUGGCUAAUUUUUUUUUAAUGUUUCUUUUUUUUUUUUCAUUUUUGUUGCCCAGGCUGGUCUCAGACUCCUGAGCUCAAGCAAUCCUCCUGCCCCAGCUCCCAAAGUGCUGGGGUUAUAGGCAUGAGCCACUGUGCCCAGCCUGAAGUUAGUUAUACUUUAUCUCUUCCACUUGACUGAGUUUUGUUCAUGUUUGUAUCCCUAGUAUCAACCUAGAAUUCUGCUUUGAAUAUAAGACCCCUUUGUGUUUGGUGAAUGAAUUAAUUGUAAAGUAUGUGGAAG